UUGUGCAAUUGAUGUAAGAGCAGGACACGGUGAAGAAGGCAAAACGGCAGAAAGCAGAUACCAGCGAUCGUUGCCAAAGCCCUGUUGCCUGUGGAAAAUGUGAUGUUCAACUUUCAUGUGCUGCUGCAGUUCAUAUGAUGAAGGUACUCCCACAAUGCGGUCAUUUGAGAAGUCACAGAUCAUUCAUCUAGCGAUACUGAAGAGCUGAUGGUGAUAUUACAAGUGGACUUUCAGGUGGGGAAACUCAAUAAUUGUAACACCAAACUCUGACAGAAUUACUCAAUUCAUCAACAUCUGGAUAUUCGUAUUGUAUUUCCACAAUUUUACUUCUGCACUGUUCUUAACCUUUUGAUCCCUCUGAAAGACUGAGUUACAAUGCCUGCCCUUGCUCCCUGGCUCUCCCACCUCUCUUUCAGCAGUUGUGUGCAAAUACUGACUGGAUCCCUUACCUGGAGGAUAUUUAUUUGAAUUUGUUCUAAUGAUGAUCCAGCAUAUUUCCCAAGUGUCGCUCCAUAAAUGUCCAGAGGAUUUCUCGAUUUCACAAUCUGUGGUUGUUCUUCUGGUUCCUCACUCGCUGCACUUGCUUUCUGUUUGAAAGCUUAGUCUGCAAUUGGAGAAUUCAAACAGGUCCACAUCCAGGUCUGACAGUCACUUUGUUUAUCACAACCCAGUGACCUCAGGAUUUUGAACAUUGAAGGAAAAAGCAGCAUUCACACUGGGGAGAAAUGCAUAUGGUCUGUAAAGAGUCUGUGAAGAUUCAUCUGAAAUGUCCGAACACCAGCGCAGUAACACUGGGGAGAGACUGUGGAAAUGUGCAGAUUGCAGGAACGAAUUUUUUAAUCCAUCCCAGCUAGAAACUGACCACCAGAGUCACACUGGAGAGAAACCAUUCACCUACUCUGAUUGUGUAAUGGGAUUCACUCAGUCCUCUAACCUGCUUAAACACCAGUGAGUUCGCACUGUCGAGAAACCAUUUACAUGCUUGAAAUGUGGGAAAGCGUUCACUCGGACAUAUCAACCGCUGAUGCACGAGCAAAUUCACACUGGAGAGAGACUGUUGGCCUGUUCUGCGUGAGGGAAAGGCUUUGCUGACUCAAAUUGCCCGCUGAUCCAACAGCUACUUCACUCUGGUGAGUGACCAUUCAUCUGCUCCCAGUGUGGGAAGGGAAUCACUUGCUCACCUAACAUACAGAGCGUUCACACUGGGGAGAAACCAUUCAUCUGCUCUAAAUGUGAGAAAGCAUUCACUUGGUCAUCCUACCUGCUUGUGUUCCAGCAGGUUCACACUGGGAGAACCCAUUCAUGAGCUCUGAGUGGGGGAAAGCAUUCACUCAGUUAUCCAAACUGUUAACACACCAGUGAGUUCACAAAGAAGCACAGUUGAAUGAUUUUGCUGUCACUCUCACUAUCAAGUGAACCAUGGCUUUGGGCUGUUUGUACUGAUGUUACUGAUCCCUGCUCAAUUAAAGGUACAGGUAUUGUGGAUAAAAUGUUAAUAUCAGUUCUGUAUCUGUCAGGUAGAGUUUGGAAAUAGUCAUGUUAUCACGACACAUUGACACAUUCUCACUGACUAAAGACGACCCGCCCACACAGUAUGUGAAAAGGGAUUUCCUGGUUCAUCAGGACUGGUUAACGAGCAGCAAAUUUUAGAGUAACUGUGAAGUUGACUUUUGAUUCUGCUGUUAGCUAUAUCCAAACCAUACUUUUUGGGCUUGCUUCUGUAGAUCAUAGAAUCCCUCCAGUCUGGAGGCAGACCAUUUAGCCCGUCAAGUUCACACUGAACUUACAAAGAGUGUCCUACCCAGACCCUGCCUGCGUGGGUUUCCUCCAGGUGCUCUAGUUUCUUCCCACAGUCCAAAAAUGUGCAAAUUAGGUAGAAUGACAAUGCUAAAUUGCCCAUAGUGUCUGGUGUGCGAAAUGCAGGGUAGGGUGUGAGACUGGGUGAGAUGCUGUUUGGAGGGUUGGUAAUGGACUGAAUGGCCAUCUUCCACACUGUAGGGAUUCUAUGUUGAUCUUAAAGGCCCUUUAUUUGUUGUGCCUGGUCAAUAUGUUUGCACACCUUUUACCAUUAUGGAUUCUAUUGCUCUCCACAGACAUGUUUCAACUACUAAUAGAUAUUUGCUUAUUGGAAACAAUCAAAGGAAAGUUUUAAAUCCAAACAAAAGAUUGGGAUGAGUCAUGUUCUGUAUCCCUGAUAGCCGAUUGCAAAAAUGCAAUGAAACCUGGUGACCUGUCCAUGGGGAAUGCAGUCUCUUCAGAUCUUUACCAGGUGUCCAGAGCAGUGACGGAUCUCGUGAUGAAUACAAAAACCAAGACAUUGUGUGAUAUCUAGUGUAUACUUUCUAUUUAGUCUGCUGUCCAUUACUCCACAUGUCAAGUUUGUUUUCAGAGACCCUCACGGACUUGCUGCAAUCACAAGACACUGACCUGUUUGGAAAAAACACAAAUCCUUUUAUUACCAAACAAGUACAAGCUGUGGAGAAUCACUGUACUGAAUCCGGCACAGAGAGCAGAGUCUCGCCAGUAAUUCUCCCCGAGCAGCAGACAGUGCCCGCUUUUUAUAGUUUACAAAAGACAUGACGCAUAAAACGAUUUCACAACUUACAGUGGCAUGAUACAUGAAACAAUUACUGCAACAGACAAAAAUAGGAUACCAAGCAAUUAUUACAUCAAGAACAUAAAAGACCAGCUUAUAGUAUCGAUUGCUAGUGAAGUAGCUGCUAAUGGCAGGAGGCGAUUUUGAGUUGUUGUCCAGGACAGAUUGUGAUUUUAAGUUGCCAGUGUGUCUGACUAGAACAAAGUCAGUGCCCUGACCCCUUUGUCAGCGACAGGAGUUACAUGCUUUAGAGGUUUCACACCUUUACAAAUAUUCCCCACCUUCCCCUGUUUGAAACAGUGUGAUUCUAAUUUAAAUUCAGUCAGGAAGUUUAAGACAGUGUCUGCAUACUGAUGUGUGAGAAGAAAAGGAGUUAAAAAAGUGUUACACUGAAUUCCUAGCUGGACCGUAAGCUUCAGGGUAGUGCCUGCAUAUCUAUGUGAAGGUAGAUAAGAGUUUACUUGUAUAAAUUAAAGUCUUUUAUCUACAUUUGAUUCCUAUACAGAGACUUUAAUUUAUAGAAGUAUAUAAAUCAAUGGGAUGUCAUCACAUUAACAUCUCACACAGAGACUGAGAUAUGGUCUAGUGACCUAGAUUGGAAUCACACCAUUCCAGAUGGUGGAAUUUGAGUUUUUUAAAAAUCUGGAAAUAAGAAUCUAAUGAUGACCGUGAAUCUAUUGUCAGUUGGAAAAACCCAUCUGUUCACCUAUGUUCUUUAGGGAAGGAAACUUCCAUUCUUAUCCAGUGAUAUCAAGAUUCCAUGAAUGAUAUUUUUUAAAAGUUAAUUUAAAAAAAACCUCCUGCAAAUACAUUUAUCUCUGUCUUAAUUUAUUUAGCAACCGACAGUUCAAACUGGCUGAUGGUCACUUUCACUUCUAAUCAAGUUGUGACCGUUUCAUGGUUGAAACAAAAAAAAAUGCAUGAAUGGAACCACAGUUGUACUCGUAGGAACAAUGCAUGCUCUGACAUGUUUGGGAAAAAAAUACCUCAUCUCACUUAUGAGCCAGAUAUCAAAGCUGACCAGAUCCUGAUGCAGUGUACCAUGAAAGUGAAAUUCUUCACCAUCUUAUCUACUUGUGUUGCUAUUUCAGGGAGCGAUGGACUUGAACCUCGCAAACUCCUGAACACCUCUUAAGAAUUUCAUCAAACUGACCCCCAGUGGCAGGAAUGGACAGGGUCAGCUUGGAUUGAUGAUCAUAAUUCAGGCUCAACAAGUCUACUGGAACAUUUUGAGAAUGUAAUUAGUGGUGAGUGUGGCCACCUCUCUGUACUGUAGUGAUACAGAUUCCCAGAUCCUGAUUAUCCCCAAAUGGCUGACUGACAGUGUCAAAGUCCCUGGGCUGAUAUUGAAUGAUUCCUUGGCCAUUUUGUGUCAGGAUCUCCUGACUGAAUACUAUCUCCCUUGCCUUGACUGAGAACUGUUUCCCUGAGACUUUGCGAUGUGACCAUUUGGUCGAAACACAUGUGUUUGUUGCCACAGCUGCUGACCAGCCCUUGGCUGACUGCUGGUAAUAACAGUGCUAAGCUGCCUGGCUUAUGCCUGCAAUAAACAACCAGGCAAGACAGGAGCACUGAGACAUUAAGUUCUAGUUGAGACGUCAAAGUGCAAAAAUGCCAAGGAAGGGCAGAGAUAUUGCGGCAUAACUUGUGUCAGGUGCUGAAAAGCUUGUAGAGUUCUUAGAGCAAGAAUGUACUAUGUGGACAGGCAAUUCUGCAUCUUGAUGUAGCAUUUUUAUUUAACUCUGGCUCAUUUCGCUAGAUUUGCAAAUAUCUCUUGGUCUGGCUAAUGUGAGAAUUGGCUUUCGGAGUAAUGUGCCACCGACUGUCAUUCACAGUUGUAUCCCACAUCAGUGAAUUGGUAAUCUGAUUAAGCGCUCAGGCCUUGGCUUGAGAAAAAUAAAGCAGACACAUGCACACUUGUUUGAUUAGUUGCUCUGCACUCAAAUGAAAAACGUGCAUUGUAUAUGCCAUAUCCUUUCCUGGCUCAGUGUUUCCAAAAUCUCUAGUUCAAUACAUCCCAAGUUGUCAUCAUCAGAGUCAAAACUAGUGAAUACUUUGAUAGCUUCAUCUUUUUUUUUCUGAAAUGCUAUUUAUAUUGAGGCAGUGUUGGCAGGUGAUUUUCUUUUACUUCUGAUGCCAUGUGUGGAUAUUUGGGGAUGGUGUUGGUGGGAAGGUGCGGUAUUACCAGGGAUGAGGCACUGACAUUCAAAACAAGUGCUGAACAUGCAGAAAAGGACAGAUUAACAAUUACCUUGGAACAAGCAUAUUUGGAGAAAGUUGGGUGAGAGUACUGAGAGGAAAGCACUUUGGCAGCAUAGUGGCUCAGUAUUUAGCACUGCUGCCUCACAGCACCAGGACCUGUGUUCGAUUCCAGCCUUGGGCGACUGCCUGUGUGGAGUUUGCACAUUCUCCAUGUGUCUGUGUGGGUUUCCUCAGAGUGCUCCCACAGUCCAAAGAUGUGCAGACUAGGUUGAUUGGCCAUGUUAAAUUGCCUGUAAUGUUUAGGGAGGGGUAGAUUAGGUCUGGCUGGGAUGCUCUGAGGUUUGGUGUGGACUUGUGGGGCCGAAGGGCCUGUUGAGCAGAUGCUGGAGAAUCUGAGAUAACAAGGUGUAGAACUGGAUGAACACAGCAGGAAGGCUGACAUCUCAGGCCUGGACCCUUCCUCAAGUUUUGCACAGGCUGUUUUUAGAAUUGGUUUAAUGAGACUACACCAGUCCUGGAAACACAGCAAUACCUGGAUGAUGCACAGAGUGGAUGGAGCAAGGACCUACUCCUUAAUCCAAAAAUCAGUUUAACAUAGGGUCUUUAAAAAAAAAGACAUAUCAGAUAUUAAAACUGACGUCAACCAAGUAGGCCAAAAAGCAAUGCCGUUAUAGUGCUGGACUACCUUAAGUCCCAGUUACCUUCUGCUGUCAGUUUUUACUGUUCACAAACUCCUGGGCUUCCUAACUGGGAAAAACAAUAAGUUUAUACCAGCACUUUUUCAUCACCUUUUCUGUAAAACUCACUUCGUAGCGAAUGUAGAUCAUCGGAAAUGUACCAAUCGAAUGAGGUAGGGCAGAGCUGACAUCACUAACAAGCCUCAUCAACCAUUUCCGCGACUGCUGGAGGGCUAGUGAGAUUGCAGCCACAAUUGGUACAGAACCGCACACUCAGAGAAUGUCCCAACACAGAGGAAGGUGCUUCAGACUGUCAUUGUCUGCAUCAGAGAUAAUGUGAACUGCAGAUGCUAGAGAAUCCAAGAUAACAAAGCGUGAAGCUGGAUGAACACAGUACGCCAAGCAGCAUCCCAGGAGCGCAAAAGUUGACGUUGCA